UGGGGAAUUUUGGACAAUGGGCGAAAGCCUGAUCCAGCAAUGCCGCGUGUGUGAAGAAGGCCUUCGGGUUGUAAAGCACUUUUGUCCGGAAAGAAAUCCUCUGGGUUAAUACCUCGGGGGGAUGACGGUACCGGAAGAAUAAGCACCGGCUAACUACGUGCCAGCAGCCGCGGUAAUACGUAGGGUGCAAGCGUUAAUCGGAAUUACUGGGCGUAAAGCGUGCGCAGGCGGUUUUGUAAGACGGAUGUGAAAUCCCCGGGCUUAACCUGGGAACUGCAUUCGUGACUGCAAGGCUAGAGUAUGGCAGAGGGGGGUAGAAUUCCACGUGUCGCAGUGAAAUGCGUAGAGAUGUGGAGGAAUACCGAUGGCGAAGGCAGCCCCCUGGGCCAAUACUGACGCUCAUGCACGAAAGCGUGGGGAGCAAACAGGAUUAGGAUACCCUGGUAGUCCACGCCCUAAACGAUGUCAACUAGUUGUUGGGGAUUCAUUUCCUUAGUAACGUAGCUAACGCGUGAAGUUGACCGCCUGGGGGAGUACGGUCGCAAGAUUAAAACUC
rnacentral:rRNA from 1 species